rnacentral:rRNA from 1 species
UGGGGAAUCUUCCGCAAUGGACGAAAGUCUGACGGAGCAACGCCGCGUGAGUGAAGACGGCCUUCGGGUUGUAAAGCUCUGUGAUUCGGGACGAAAGGCCAUAUGUGAAUAAUAUAUGGAAAUGACGGUACCGAAAAAGCAAGCCACGGCUAACUACGUGCCAGCAGCCGCGGUAAUACGUAGGGGGCGAGCGUUAUCCGGAUUCAUUGGGCGUAAAGCGCGCGCAGGCGGCUCUUCAAGCGGAACCUCUAACCCCGGGGCUCAACCUCGGGCCGGGUUCCGAACUGGAGGGCUCGAGUGCGGUAGAGGCAGGCGGAAUUCCCGGUGUAGCGGUGGAAUGCGCAGAUAUCGGGAAGAACACCGAUGGCGAAGGCAGCCUGCUGGGCCGGCACUGACGCUGAGGCGCGAAAGCUAGGGGAGCGAACAGG